rnacentral:rRNA from 2 species
UACGAAGGGGGCUAGCGUUGCUCGGAAUCACUGGGCGUAAAGGGCGCGUAGGCGGCUUGCCAAGUCGGGGGUGAAAGCCCGUGGCUCAACCACGGAAUGGCCUUCGAUACUGGCAGGCUUGAGACCGGAAGAGGACAGCGGAACUGCGAGUGUAGAGGUGAAAUUCGUAGAUAUUCGCAAGAACACCAGUGGCGAAGGCGGCUGUCUGGUCCGGUUCUGACGCUGAGGCGCGAAAGCGUGGGGAGCAAACAGG